rnacentral:rRNA from 1 species
GGGUUGUGAGGUUAAGCGACUAAGCGUACACGGUGGAUGCCCUGGCAGUCAGAGGCGAUGAAGGACGUGCUAAUCUGCGAAAAGCGUCGGUAAGGUGAUAUGAACCGUUACAGCCGGCGAUGUCCGAAUGGGGAAACCCAGUGUGAUUCGUCACACUAUCGUUAACUGAAUACAUAGGUUAACGAGGCGAACCGGGGGAACUGAAACAUCUAAGUACCCCGAGGAAAAGAAAUCAACCGAGAUUCCCCCAGUAGCGGCGAGCGAACGGGGAGCAGCCCAGAGUCUGAAUCAGCUUGUGUGUUAGUGGAACGGUCUGGAAAGUCCGACGGUACAGGGUGAUAGUCCCGUACACCAAAAUGCACAGGCUGUGAACUCGAAGAGUAGGGCGGGACACGUGGUAUCCUGUCUGAAUAUGGGGGGACCAUCCUCCAAGGCUAAAUACUCCUGACUGACCGAUAGUGAACCAGUACCGUGAGGGAAAGGCGAAAAGAACCCCGGCGAGGGGAGUGAAAAAGAACCUGAAACCGUGUACGUACAAGCAGUGGGAGCACCUUCGGGUGUGACUGCGUACCUUUUGUAUAAUGGGUCAGCGACUUAUAUUCUGUAGCAAGGUUAACCGUAUAGGGGAGCCGCAGGGAAACCGAGUCUUAACUGGGCGUUAAGUUGCAGGGUAUAGACCCGAAACCCGGUGAUCUAGCCAUGGGCAGGUUGAAGGUUGGGUAACACUAACUGGAGGACCGAACCGACUAAUGUUGAAAAAUUAGCGGAUGACUUGUGGCUGGGGGUGAAAGGCCAAUCAAACCGGGAGAUAGCUGGUUCUCCCCGAAAGCUAUUUAGGUAGCGCCUCGUGAACUCAUCUUCGGGGGUAGAGCACUGUUUCGGCUAGGGGGUCAUCCCGACUUACCAACCCGAUGCAAACUACGAAUACCGAAGAAUGUUAUCACGGGAGACACACGGCGGGUGCUAACGUCCGUCGUGAAGAGGGAAACAACCCAGACCGCCAGCUAAGGUCCCAAAGUCAUGGUUAAGUGGGAAACGAUGUGGGAAGGCACAGACAGCCAGGAUGUUGGCUUAGAAGCAGCCAUCAUUUAAAGAAAGCGUAAUAGCUCACUGGUCGAGUCGGCCUGCGCGGAAGAUGUAACGGGGCUAAACCAUGCACCGAAGCUGCGGCAGCGACACGAUGUGUUGUUGGGUAGGGGAGCGUUCUGUAAGCCUGCGAAGGUGUGCUGUGAGGCAUGCUGGAGGUAUCAGAAGUGCGAAUGCUGACAUAAGUAACGAUAAAGCGGGUGAAAAGCCCGCUCGCCGGAAGACCAAGGGUUCCUGUCCAACGUUAAUCGGGGCAGGGUGAGUCGACCCCUAAGGCGAGGCCGAAAGGCGUAGUCGAUGGGAAACAGGUUAAUAUUCCUGUACUUGGUGUUACUGCGAAGGGGGGACGGAGAAGGCUAUGUUAGCCGGGCGACGGUUGUCCCGGUUUAAGCAUGUAGGCUGGUUGUCCAGGCAAAUCCGGAUAAUCAAGGCUGAGGUGUGAUGACGAGGCACUACGGUGCUGAAGUAACAAAUGCCCUGCUUCCAGGAAAAGCCUCUAAGCAUCAGGUAACAUCAAAUCGUACCCCAAACCGACACAGGUGGUCAGGUAGAGAAUACCAAGGCGCUUGAGAGAACUCGGGUGAAGGAACUAGGCAAAAUGGUGCCGUAACUUCGGGAGAAGGCACGCUGGUGUGUAGGUGAAGUCCCUGCGGAUGGAGCUGAGACCAGUCGAAGAUACCAGCUGGCUGCAACUGUUUAUUAAAAACACAGCACUGUGCAAACACGAAAGUGGACGUAUACGGUGUGACGCCUGCCCGGUGCCGGAAGGUUAAUUGAUGGGGUUAUCCGUAAGGAGAAGCUCUUGAUCGAAGCCCCGGUAAACGGCGGCCGUAACUAUAACGGUCCUAAGGUAGCGAAAUUCCUUGUCGGGUAAGUUCCGACCUGCACGAAUGGCGUAAUGAUGGCCAGGCUGUCUCCACCCGAGACUCAGUGAAAUUGAACUCGCUGUGAAGAUGCAGUGUACCCGCGGCAAGACGGAAAGACCCCGUGAACCUUUACUAUAGCUUGACACUGAACAUUGAGCCUUGAUGUGUAGGAUAGGUGGGAGGCUUUGAAGCGUGGACGCCAGUCUGCGUGGAGCCAACCUUGAAAUACCACCCUUUAAUGUUUGAUGUUCUAACGUUGGCCCCUUACCGGGGUUGCGGACAGUGUCUGGUGGGUAGUUUGACUGGGGCGGUCUCCUCCCAAAGCGUAACGGAGGAGCACGAAGGUUAGCUAAUCCUGGUCGGACAUCAGGAGGUUAGUGCAAUGGCAUAAGCUAGCUUGACUGCGAGCGUGACGGCGCGAGCAGGUGCGAAAGCAGGUCAUAGUGAUCCGGUGGUUCUGAAUGGAAGGGCCAUCGCUCAACGGAUAAAAGGUACUCCGGGGAUAACAGGCUGAUACCGCCCAAGAGUUCAUAUCGACGGCGGUGUUUGGCACCUCGAUGUCGGCUCAUCACAUCCUGGGGCUGAAGUAGGUCCCAAGGGUAUGGCUGUUCGCCAUUUAAAGUGGUACGCGAGCUGGGUUUAGAACGUCGUGAGACAGUUCGGUCCCUAUCUGCCGUGGGCGCUGGAGAAUUGAGGGGGGCUGCUCCUAGUACGAGAGGACCGGAGUGGACGCAUCACUGGUGUUCGGGUUGUCAUGCCAAUGGCACUGCCCGGUAGCUAAAUGCGGAAGAGAUAAGUGCUGAAAGCAUCUAAGCACGAAACUUGCCCCGAGAUGAGUUCUCCCUGAGACUUUAAGUCUCCUGAAGGAACGUUGAAGACGACGACGUUGAUAGGCCGGGUGUGUAAGCGCAGCGAUGCGUUGAGCUAACCGGUACUAAUGAACCGUGAGGCUUAACCUUACAACGCCGAAG